UGGUCCUGUAAGGGCAGUGGAAGGAAAGGUUAUGAAGGUUGGAAACUGCUCUUUUGUCAUUUUGCAUGAACAGCAACUACAAUACAUUUGCUGUUCCUUCACAACAAACUAACCCUCCUUGGUUCUCACACACUAAAACCCAUUUCUUUUAAAGAUCUUUCAACUUCUGAGGGAGGGCUUAGGCUGUGUGGGUAUUUCUACCACUUAUCAGUUUGUAAAUCAAACUGUUUUCUGUUCUGUUGGGAGAAAGCUCACCAGGGCUUGGCAGCAUGGAAAUGACUGGAGAAAUUACACAUGGGCUGAUGGUAAGAAGUAUAGAUUGGGAGUUCAAGAAUCCUGGGAUAUGGGGAUUUUAUUGAUUUGGAAUAUAUUUUUUAUUGCCCAUAUUUUACUUUUAAGAUCAAUCUGUAACACAAAAAAUGUUUCCCACCACCCCCAUGCCCAGGGGCCGAGUUGUGAACCAAAGAGUAACUAGGUCUUUGAAACUGUUCCAACUUUCUUUCUACCUCCUCCCCACUUUGCUCCUUUACUUUGCAGAAUUCUAGUUCAAGGCCUGUGGUUGACAAACAUCCAGACAUUAUACUUAGGGAAGUCCAACUGAAAAUCUAAAAGACUAACCCCAAAGCUGCAUGCAAGACCAGCAUGUGCAUUCCCUAGACUAAUUGUCCCUGCAUGGGACACUGCUAAUAUUACCAAGAGUAAUAGAGGGAAAAGAGAUUUUUCUCCUUUUCUCAAAACAACCAAAAAAAAAAAAAAAAAAACCACUGGAUUUGAGUUAGAAGGCUUGGACUAUCAGUGCUCAUUGUUUAACAGAGGUCAAGAGCUAAACCUCACCAAAGAAUGAAAGGGAUACCACUCUCUGUGGUGGUUUGAAGAUGCUUGGCCCAGGGAGUGGCACUAUUAGGAGGUGUGGCCCUGGAGUAGGUGUGUCACCGAGAAUGUGGGCUUUAAGACCCUCAUUCUAGCUGUCUGGACGCCAGUCUUCUCCUAGUGGCCUGAGAUGAAGAUGUAGAGCUCUCAGCUCCUGCUGCACCAUGCCUGCCUGGAUGCUGCCAUGCUUCUGCCUUGAUAAUGGACUAAACCUUUAAACCGAUCCUGACAGGAUAAUCACAUUGUUCUGUGUAGUCAACACUGGGAUCAGUACCACUGUGACGCAGGGCUGACAGUGGCCUGCGGCUGCUCUGGGAAAGCUUUGGUUCAGGUCAAAGACGAGACCUUAAGGGAACAAACUCCUCAGAACCUAGAUCUGCUCCUUCCCCAAGCCUGCGCUGCUUCAGCCUUCAUCCACAUUCGUUGAGCAUCCCCAGGGCUGAGAGUCAUUCAUUUCCUCUCCGAGCAGUCACCCUCCUCCCAUUUUGUGUCACCCUUCCACAAGAUUAGUUGUAAUGGUCUCAUUUACUUACCCCCAGCUUUACAGAGUAUGAGGAUUCUCUAGAAACAGCCUGUGUAAAAAAUGGAACCACAAGAGAAUAUGUGUGCUGCCAGAAAGGGAGCGUGUCCGAGGAGCUCUGCAGCGGUGUAGUGAGGGUGCUGGGGGAGGAAGGGCGAGAAGGAAGGAGGGGGCCUGAAAGGGGUGGGUUGUGGACUGUCUGGGCUCUGGGUCUCAGUAAGGAAUGAGGAAGCAGGGUGACCUACAGAAGCCUCCAUGCCAGGCCUGCUGAGUCAGAUGGGAAGACUUAGAGAACACCCACGGCAGGCAUCUUUAUAAACCUCCAGGGCCUGACAUGCCGCCGGAGUCCUGGGGACAGAAACCUGUCCUAUCAUUUGUACAUUGCACAGGGCCAAGUUGCUGAGGGUUGCAAAGGGGGAAAUAUGUAUAAUUUACCUAUGAAUGUGAGGAGCCUCCUACAACUGAACCAUGUACCUCGUUAGCUCCCCAGUAAAGCCACGUGAAGCUAGCGUGUGAUGUCACCGA